rnacentral:rRNA from 1 species
GAUGAACGCUGGCGGCGUGCCUAAUACAUGCAAGUCGAGCGAACGGACGAGAAGCUUGCUUCUCUGAUGUUAGCGGCGGACGGGUGAGUAACACGUGGAUAACCUACCUAUAAGACUGGGAUAACUUCGGGAAACCGGAGCUAAUACCGGAUAAUAUUUUGAACCGCAUGGUUCAAAAGUGAAAGACGGUCUUGCUGUCACUUAUAGCUGGAUCCGCGCUUCAUUAGCUAGUUGGUAAGGUAACGGCUUACCAAGGCAACGAUGCAUAGCCGACCUGAGAGGGUGAUCGGCCACACUGGAACUGAGACACGGUCCAGACGCCUACGGGAGGCAGCAGUAGGGAAUCUUCCGCAAGGGGCGAAAGCCUGACGGAGCAAGGCCGCGUGAGUGAUGAAGGUCUUGGGAUCGUAAAACUCGGUUAUUAGGGAAGAACAGAUGUGGAAGUAACUGUGCACAUCUUGACGGUACCUAAUCAGAAAGCCACGGCUAACUACGUG